GUUGCAGUUAAAAGCUCGUAGUUGGAUUUCGGAAGGUCUUUAGUGGUCCGCCCCUUCGGGGAGCGGGUCACUGGCCUCCUAUGUUCCUAACGGUCCUCAUCCGCGAGGGUGGGGAAUCAACCGCUAGGAUCGUUUACUUUGAGGAAAUUAGAGUGUUCAAAGCAGGCGUAACUCGCCUCCGAAUACGUUAGCAUGGGAUAAUGGAAUACGACUUCGGUCUUGUUUCGUUGGUUUCGCUUGGCUGAAGUAAUGAUUGAUAGGGACAGUUGGGGGCAUUAGUAUUUAGUUGUCAGAGGUGAAAUUCUAGGAUUUACUAAAGACUGACCAAUGCGAAAGCAUUUGCCAAGGAUGUUUUCAUUAAUCAAGAACGAAAGUAGGGGGAUCGAAGACGAUCAGAUACCGUCGUAGUCUCUACCGUAAACUAUGCCGACCAGGGAUCCGGAGAGUUUGCAUGGAUGACUCCCCGGGCACCUUGUGAGAAAUCAUAAGUGUUUGGGUUUUGGGGGGAGUAUGGUCGCAAGGCUGAAACUUAAAGGAAUUGACGGAAGGGCACCACCAGGAGUGGAACCUGCGGCUUAAUUUGACC
rnacentral:rRNA from 1 species